UAAAAGCAUAAAUAAUUCUGUAGAAAACAGAAGCUCGCAUACCACUUCAUGUCUUCUCUGAUAACCAGCAGACACACAGGACAGUGUCUCUGUCGGAGCUAGAUGUGACGAUCCAGAAAGGGGAGAGUCUGGGUCGCGCUGAGGCUGGGGUCUUCAGAGGGACAGGUCAUUCGGCUGGCGAGGUGGUGUUUCCAGUGGAUGAGGUCGAGGCUGUCUGGGAGCACAUUUUCCCUCCAGGUCUCCUUCAACUUGACCACAGGUCAUUGGGUCAGAGAGCGUGUUUACAGCGCAGUAGAUGGAGCCCCUCAUGUUCCGGGGCCGCGGAGGUUAAGCUCUCUGCUGAACAUUGACCAGCAUCCGCAAUCAGGAGAACCCACUUGACCAGACCGUACAGCAGCCUGUAAUUGCAAUCGCAUAGGCUGUAGGACAUCAUGAAACAGCACAAUGUUAUUGUCAAGUGUGUCUGUUCUGAAAAUAUACAGUUCCUACUGUUAUUAUUGCACAGCAGAAAUUAUUUUCACCUCAGUUCCCAGUUUGUGAACAGCUCUAAAGAUGGUUGUGAACAGCUCAGUAUUCGAGUGUAGAGUGCUAGUGAUGGUAUUUGGCCCAUUCAUGCAGACAUCCAUUGAUCCAUGAGAGCACUGCUCAAUGCAUUAUGAGCACACUCCCUUACUCUGAGACAGAUUAGGAUUUCAACAGAUUAAAACAUAAAUCGUGACUGCAAAGGAUUGUCUCAGACAGUGAUUGGAUUGAGACCUUGACAUAAACCCAACAAAGCAGAGGUAGGGAGGGAGCAUUUAUAAAACUAAAAUGUGUGUGUGUGAAAGAGAAAAGCUAAAAUGAGCAUUUUUUGUGAAAAGACCAUUGAAAUUGUACCAAAACAUUAAAUUGUUCUCAGAAAUGAGCCAGUGCGUGAAAUUCAAUAUUCAGAGGUCCUCCCCAUCACCAGGGUGCCACACACUGGUUUGCUCUUCCAGUUGUUUUACUAUGAAGAGUGAGAGUACGCCACUAUGGGAUCGCUCUUGGCUUUAAA